rnacentral:rRNA from 1 species
UACGUAGGGGGCAAGCGUUGUCCGGAUUUACUGGGUGUAAAGGGCGCGCAGGCGGAUCUGUUAGUCAGGGGUGAAAUCCUACGGCUCAACCGUAGAACUGCCUCUGAUACUGCAGAUCUUGAGUUCGGAAGAGAGAAGCGGAAUUCCAGGUGUAGUGGUGAAAUACGUAGAUAUCUGGAAGAACACCAGUGGCGAAGGCGGCUUCUUGGUCCGCAACUGACGCUGAGGCGCGAAAGCGUGGGGAG